GGAGUUGUGGCUCAGCGGUAGAGCGCUCACCUCACACGUGUGAGGCCCUGGGUUUGAUACUCAGCACCA
rnacentral:tRNA from 1 species